GACGAACGCUGGCGGCGUGCCUAAUACAUGCAAGUAGAACGCAGUUGCGAACGGGUGAGUAACGCGUAGGUAACUGCCUGGUAGCGGGGGAUAACUAUGGGAAACGAUAGCUAAUACCGCAUACUACCAGAUGGACCUGCGUGGUAUUAGCUAGUGGGGGAGGGAACGGCUCACCAAGGCAACGAGACAUAGCCGGCCUGAGAGGUUGACCGGCCACACUGGAACUGAGACACGGCCCAGACUCCUACGGGAGGCAGCAGUGGGGAAUUGUGGACAAUGGGCGCAAGCCUGAUCCAGCCAUGCCGCGUGUCUGAAGAAGGCCUUCGGGUUGUAAAGGACUUUUGUCAGGGAAGCGGUACCUGAAGAAGAAGCACCGGCUAACUCCGUGCCAGCAGCCGCGGUAAUAC
rnacentral:rRNA from 1 species